UUAUACCCCCUCCCACUGGGCCCAGCUGCUGGGACUCCAUCUCGCGUCCUGACCUCUUCCUAUCUGCUGUGCGCUUUGCAGGGGAGCUAGAUUAUAACACCAAGACGUCAAGAUGGGAGAUGAAGAGGUGAGUACCGGGCUGGGCCAGGGGAAGGGGCGCCAUGGGCAGGCCUGGAUCAGCGAGCCUCUGCCCAAGCAGGCUCUCUCCAGACUGAGUGGGCCUUUCAGGGGCUGGGCUUCGGGGAGGCCCGGGCUGCCUCUAGGGCAGGAGCAAUCAGAGGAGGACAGAGAGGCCUGCCCUCCAGGCUAUACGUGCCCAGCCCUCUCCCCCAAAAGGAUGCCCACGUGCCUGACACCCACAGCAGAACACCCAGCAUGCCCCGGCCCCAUCUGGGAUCCU